rnacentral:rRNA from 1 species
UACGAAGGGGGCUAGCGUUGCUCGGAAUCACUGGGCGUAAAGCGCACGUAGGCGGAUUGUUAAGUCGGGGGUGAAAUCCUGGAGCUCAACUCCAGAAUUGCCUUCGAUACUGGCUUUCUAGAGGCUGGAAGAGGUUAGUGGAAUUCCCAGUGUAGAGGUGAAAUUCGUAGAUAUUGGGAAGAACACCAGUGGCGAAGGCGGCUAACUGGUCCAGAUCUGACGCUGAGGUGCGAAAGCUAGGGUAGCAAACGGG